AUGUCAUGGGAUGCCGUGGAACUUGACAUAGAGCUGGUCACAAAGGAGCUUCCUUUUGCUUAUGGUGGCCAUCCUUAUCCUUUUUCUGGAAUAUUUGAAUUUUCCCCAGGAAAUGCUUCUGAGCUAGGAGAAACAUUUAAAUUUAAAGAAGCUGUUGUUCUAGGGAGUACAGACUUUCUAGAAGAUGAUAUAGAGAAAAUUGUAGAAGAACUGGGGAAAGAGCAUAAGGGCAACGCCUACCAUCUGAUGCACAAAAACUGCAACCACUUCUCUUCAGCUUUAUCCUAGAUUCUCUGUGGGAAAGAGAUUCCUUGCUGGAUCAACCAGCUGGCCUACUUCAGCUCUUGUAUACCCUUUCUACAGAGUUGCCUGCCAAAGGAGUGGCUCACUCCUGCUGCACUUCAGUCUAGUGUCAGCCAAGAACUCCAGGAUGAACUGGAAGAAGCAGAGGAUGCAGCCGCAUCCAGUGCCAUGGCAAGUGCUGCAGCUGGUGCCAGAACUGGGCGUCACACCAAACUAUAAGACCUCUGAAGUCAGGCCUUCAGAACUGUCUCUGGCAGUUGAGUAUCACUGGAGAAAAAGAA